AGACCAUGAUGAGGACAUCUCCAAAGUAAUUCUUUGUAUCUUUCCCAAGCCUUAUACAAUGAUUCAAAAUCUUGCAGCAUGAACAAUGUAAUAUCAUUCUUCAUUUU
rnacentral:snoRNA from 1 species